ACACAUGCAAGUCGAACGGUAACACCUCAUUACCUUCGGGUAACGAGGGGCGACGAGUGGCGGACGGGUGAGUAACGCAUAGGAAUCUGCCCGGUAGUGGGGGACAACCUGGGGAAACCCAGGCCUAAUACCGCAUACGCCCUACGGGGAAAGCGGGGGAUCUUCGGACCUCGCGCUAUUGGAUGAGCCUAUGUCUGAUUAGCUUGUUGGUAGGGUAACGGCCUACCAAGGCAACGAUCAGUAGCUGGUCUGAGAGGAUGAUCAGCCACACUGCGACUGAGACACGGCGCAGACUCCUACGGGAGGCAGCAGUGGGGAAUAUUGCACAAUGGGCGCACUAAAUGCAGCAAUGCCGCGUGUGUGAAGAAGGCCUGCGGGUUGUAAAGCACUUUCAGUAGCGAAGAAAAGCCUGAGGUUAAUAGCUUCGAGUCUUGACGUUAGCUACACAAGAAGCACCGGCUAACUCCGUGCCAGCAGCCGCGGUAAUACGGAGGGUGCGAGCGUUAAUCGGAAUUACUGGGCGUAAAGCACGCGUAGGGGUUUUGGUAAGUCGGAUGUGAAAUCCCCGGGCUUAACCUGGGAAUUGCAUUCGAUACUGCCUGACUGGAAUGCGAUAGAGGUAAGUGGAAUUCCCGGUGUAGCGGUGAAAUGCGUAGAUAUCGGGAGGAACAUCAGUGGCGAAGGGGCUUACUGGAUCAACAUUGACGCUGAGGUGCGAAACGUGGGGGAGCAAACAGGAUUAGAUACCCUGGUAGUCCACGCCCUAAACGAUGUCAACUAGCCGUUGGGUCCUUAAGGAUUUAGUGGCGCCGAAACGCGAUAAGUUGACCGCCUGGGGAGUACGGCCGCAAGGUUAAAACUCAAAGGAAUUGACGGGGGCCCGCACAAGGUGGGAGCAUGUGGUUUAAUUCGAUGCAACGCGAAGAACCUUACCAGGCCUUGACAUCCUGCGAACUUUCCAGAGAUGGAUCGGUGCCUUCGGGAGCGCAGAGACAGGUGCUGCAUGGCUGUCGUCAGCUCGUGUCGUGAGAUGUUGGGUUAAGUCCCGUAACGAGCGCAACCCUUGUCCUUAGUUGCCAGCACUUCGGGUGGGAACUCUAAGGAGACUGCCGGUGACAAACCGGAGAAAGGUUGGGAUGACGUCAAGUCACAAUGGCCCUUACGGCCUGGGCAACACACGUGCU
rnacentral:rRNA from 1 species